AUGUUGCCUGUGUCACUGAGUUACUCCAACAUGUUGUGUCUCUCGUCAGUUUAAACCAGCAUCUGCAGUUCCUUCCUACACAUGUCACCUAAGGACCACAUUAAUUGGGCCCGUCACCCAUACAAUAGUAUGGAGUCCAUACCCAGUAAAACGGGAGCCGUUCCUUCCAUCGGUUCAAGCCCCGUUAACCCAAUGUUAGGUCUGUGGAGACUGAGGGUCAGGUUUGGCUGAGGGAUGAUGAAGAUGUCGGAGGGAGGGGCGAGGCAGGGAAGAUAAAACAUUUAUCGUCCGACAAGCGAUAAAUGGGAUGAUUUCAGGGUGCGGGCGGACGGCUGCGGGGGGAAGGAGUCAUUCUGAAUCUAUUGCCUCUCCUUGGCAAAGUCACGCCCUCAAUCUGCCAUUGAAUAGAAAGGAACAAAAAAUGGAUUUUAACUCUCUUUCAUCAUAUUACAUGUCCCUCGCAUCUCUUUGUGUCCCUGCCCUUUGCUUAUAUCUCCCCCUUUGUCUGUCACAUGCAGUCGUGUGUCUGUUCCUUUUCCACACUGAUUGCGAGGUAAUAUUUCACCCUUCUAUAUUGAAAACGUCUACGCAUCUCUUUCUAUAUGGCGAUCAUUGAUAAAAUAUACACACAGUUUCUCACCAAAGCGCAUACGCAUUGAACACAUCCUCAAACACCAGGGACGUGGUCCUUUUGCUCUUUGUUUCUACGCCGUAAUAAAUAUUAAAUGUAUAAAGGUUUACUAUAGUAGUAACUUCUAGUGAGUCACGUUGAAUGGUAUUCCGUAAUGUGUCACACCCAGUAACUCGCUGAUAUUCUUAAAACAGGGUGGAAUAUAGCUUUCUGUAAAAUCAUAGUGACCUAAUGUAGGAAUUAACUAAUAACGGAGAUGGCUUGGUGUGGCCGAGAGAGCGGUCUGAGAGGCCGACAGAGGCGUGGUGCUGAGUUAGAUUCUUACACUCACAGCCUGUACGCGGCAAUACACCUGGGCAGGAAUAGGUAGGCGGUGGGUGCGGCGCAGCGAGGGCAUGUAUCUGCCUUGGGUGGUGUGUGAACAGUGAAAUGCUCCCCGCCGCAUUCGGCCACAUAGAAUUAAACCAAAGCCCGGUAAGCAGGAGAAGAGAGGGAAGGGGAUAUGAAUAUUCCGGAUUAUCAUUCAAUCAGCUUUCCCCCCCAAAACGUGCUCAUGUUCAGGGUAGGUAGACACAAAAUGCUGGAGUAACUCAGCGGGCCAGGCAGCACCUCUGGAUAGAGGGAAUGGGUGACAUUUCUGGUCGAGACCCUUCUUCAGACUGGGAGUUGGAGAUUAAUGUGCGCAAAUUGGCGGCGGUGAUUUCAACAUUACAACAGCGACUAGUCAGUCUUCAAACCUCUGCAAAGCACAUCGGGAUAAUUUUUUAAACGGACGUGACAGGCACUAUGUAAAAAGAGUAUUUUCUUCAAAAAACUGAAAAGCCCCUUGCGGUGACAGGAACCCGAGCCAAGGCUGCAGUCUGGAUUCCAACAACAACUCAGAUGUCUAAUGGGUGCUGGAAUAAAACAAUGUUUGAAUUCCAAUCUUUAUUUGGCUCAGUCUGCGCUUGUCCCUGUCCUAAGGUGAUCUCACUUCAACAGCGUACCUGCUGAAAAAAAAUCCCUAAAUCAUCUGUUACAAUUAGAAACGAGAUAACGCUCAUGUAAACUAAAAGCGGCUCUAAUCUCCGAGGAGUUUAUCCACGCUCUCACCCAGUUCAAAACAUUUUAGAAGUUUAUUUGAUCGGAAUAGUGCUUUACAAUUAAUACAUUGGUUGGCCAGACUUUCCUUCACACCUUGCCCAAUCGCUUGUGGGUAGAUCUGAUAACGACUAACAUGGUUUGUUUUAAAUAUAUAUUACAUUUAAACACAUUAUUUCAAGCUUUUGUUUCGCGAAAGGAGAUGUUGAGGGAGCGCUUGAGCCAGCGGGGAGAGAGGGGGUAGCUGACAGCUUUAAGUUUCAACACGCAUCCGACAGUUUUCCCGAGUCUGUUUCAAAGUCCGGCGAGGUUACAAGUCCAUGGUACUGUGGUAUAUUUCAGGUGAAGGCCCCCUUGGUUCAGUUUUACCCAGCCGCGGAGACGCCCUUGCCGCAGCUAGCAGACGGGGCGACUCGGCAGGCUUACCUGACACUCUUUCUGCAUUCUGCAUUCCUCUUUUCCGCCAGCCCCGUCUAUCUCCUCGCCUCCUGUCUCAAUAUUAUUCUCACUUUCUCUCCCCAGUUUUCACUCCUAAGCCCAUCUCCGUAUAAACCGGAUUUCUCCCUUUGAUUUUCCUUUACCAUUAAGCAUCUAAUCUUUUGUUUUUAUCUCUACCGCUCCCCCAUUCUCCCCCUUCGUUCAACCCUUUUCGGCGUGGGUUUCGUCUAAUUUCUUCCUUUCUUUCUGGCUCGGGUCUCGGAUUGCCAGUCCUGUAACAGGAUCAAUCAGUCGGUGUAUGUGAUACAGCAGGCAUCAGAUAACACAGUUUGUUGAUCAGAUCAGAUACUUCCCCAAGUGCACGCGUAAACCUCCUUGACCGCCUUUUCAAAUGAGCUGGAACGAGUUUAUUCACAGCCAAUUCAUUGCGUACAGUCGCGAAUAAAAAGCAAAGCAAAGCAAACCACACACACACACACACACACACACACACACACACACACACACACACACACACACACACACACACACACACACACACACACACACACACACACACACACACACACACACACACACACACACACACACACACACACACACACACACACACACACACACACACACACGUCAGCAAAGAGGAGUACUUACCACCAGAUCGGAUAGCCAGCCAGACCGCGGGUCGAAUUGAACAGAAGCGACAGCACAAAUCCAAACAGAUGCUGCCUGGCUUGCUGUGUUUUUAUACGCAUUUUUCUGUUUUAACUCUCAAUCAAGCAUGACUUUGCUUUUAAUUAUGUAUUUAAAUGCGAUAACUCACCAUCAGACUUAUUUAGGGGGUGGAAGAUUGCAACCUUCACGUGAUCCGCCCUGUUUGGACUAAUGCAAUCAACUCGAGGUGCACAAACGGAAGAUCAAAUAGAACAAGUUGCCCAACAACGUUAGGCUGUGCACGCCACAUGAAAGAAGAAGAAGAAGACUUAUUUAGGAGACAAGGAACUGCAGAUGCUGGGAAUCUUGAGUAACAUACAAAAUCCUGGAGUAACUAAACGGGUCGGACAGUAUCAAUGGAAGACAUGUAUAGGCGACGAUUUGUGCCGGCACCCACCUUAAUAUCCCUUUUCACUGAGCACUAUUAUUGUUUUCGGAUGUCUUACAAUCCAGUCAAUGAUUAAAAUCAACUUAAAAAGAUAUAAAGGUUUGUCACCGAUUGGAGCAGACCAGAAAUUCACAAGAAAUUGAUUAAAACAUGCCUUUAAACUAAAGACAAAGAAAGCAUCUUGCAGAAGAAAAAUAAAAUAAAGAUACCACGCCUAAUAAAGGGGCAGGGAAAGCCUUCAAGAACUGUUUGGAAUGGGAAAGGGUCCAGAGUUGACGGCCCAGGAAGUUGCUAGUGUAGUGCGCCUAGGAACAGUACAUAGCAUAUGGGAAUCAGUGGGAUAGGUAGCUUCUCCUCACGAACAAGAGGUUAUAGCUGAUGCCAUAGGCCUAUGCGAUAAUGCCCAGAAUUGAACCUAACCUGGCAAACAAAGGUUUGGAAGAGGUAGUGUGAGAAAAUUAGGAAGUUAUUCUGAUGGAAAAGCAACAUAGGCAAACAUAACCAUAUGCAAGUAAACUGGAGAUAUUGCUGGACGAUUGGAAGGAAACAUAUAGAGUUUCCACAAAAGUGUUGAAAUACUAUAUGUACUGACAAUGGAGUUAUAAAAUUCUUACUUGCAGUAGCUGAGCAGGCAGGGCAUAAACCUGCCAGGUAUUAACCCGAGUGAGUGGUUAGUACUGUGCUGAUUCUGGGAGCCCCAGAAAUGGGAAGUAUUCUCUUUUGACAUUCUUUAUCUUAAUAAACACUACUAUGCUGUG